rnacentral:rRNA from 1 species
GUCUACGGCCAUACCACCCUGAACGCGCCCGAUCUCGUCUGAUCUUGGAAGCUAAGCAGGGUCAGGCCUGGUUAGUACUUGGAUGGGAGAAAUACACCAGGUGCACU